rnacentral:rRNA from 1 species
GACGAACGCUGGCGGCGUGCUUAACACAUGCAAGUCGAACGCUGAAGCUCAGCUUUUGUUGGGUGGAUGAGUGGCGAACGGGUGAGUAACACGUGAGUAACCUGCCCCCUUCUUUGGGAUAACGCCCGGAAACGGGUGCUAAUACUGGAUAUUCACUGGUCUUCGCAUGGGGGUUGGUGGAAAGGGUUUUUCUGGUGGGGGAUGGGCUCGCGGCCUAUCAGCUUGUUGGUGGGGUGAUGGCCUACCAAGGCUUUGACGGGUAGCCGGCCUGAGAGGGUGACCGGUCACAUUGGGACUGAGAUACGGCCCAGACUCCUACGGGAGGCAGCAGUGGGGAAUAUGGCACAAUGGGCGCAAGCCUGAUGCAGCGACGCCGCGUGAGGGAUGGAGGCCUUCGGGUUGUGAACCUCUUUCGCUCAUGGUCAAGCCGCAACAAUGGUUGUGGUGAGGGUAGUGGGUAAAGAAGCGCCGGCUAACUACGUG